AGGACGAACGCUGGCGGCGCGCUUAACACAUGCAAGUCGAGCGAGAACCAGGCCUUCGGGCCUGGGGAAAGCGGCGAACGGGUGAGUAACACGUGGGUAAUCUGCCCUCGACAUCGGGAUAGCCCGGGGAAACCCGGAUUAAUACCGAAUGGCCCAUCAGCUUUUCGAAGCCGGAUGGAAAAGGUAGCUUCGGCCUCCGGUCGAGGAGGAGCCCGCGGCGGAUUAGCUUGUUGGUGAGGUAACGGCUCACCAAGGCUUCGAUCCGUAGCUGGUCUGAGAGGACGAUCAGCCACACUGGGACUGAGACACGGCCCAGACUCCUACGGGAGGCAGCAGUGGGGAAUCUUGCGCAAUGGGCGAAAGCCUGACGCAGCGACGCCGCGUGAGGGAAGAAGGCCUUCGGGUUGUAAACCUCUUUCAGGAGGGACGAAGCCACUCGGGUUAAUAGCCCAGAGGGCGACGGUACCUCCAGAAGAAGCCCCGGCUAACUACGUGCCAGCAGCCGC
rnacentral:rRNA from 1 species